UCAUUUUCUACGGAUUUAACAGGAAUAGAAUGGCACAAGGUUUAAUUACCAGGGAAAUAAAGCAAUCACAAAUGUGGAACUGGCACGGCUGCCACACUAACACGAAGAGAACUGCUAGCUACACAGAGAUUGGAAAACCCGCGGGUACACAAAGUUACACUGGUUACACUACCUGCGCCGCGACCGCCUCUAGAACAGUCCAACAUGAAAACCAGAAUCUCUUCCAUCCGUGCUCUGAGAUAUUUGCAGUCCAGAAAGUGAACAGUGUUUGGAAUUCUCAUGAAGACACUCUUUCCUCUUCUGGAAUCCAGUUAUGUCUCAAAUUUAUGUUUUAAAAUGUAUCUCCCUACCACUACCUGAGCUGCCUCAAUUAAAAACCACAAAAUUAA